GGAAAAUUAUUUUAGAUGUCAGCGUCGUUUAAUGGGGAGAUCUAAACUGUUUUCAUUUUUCAAAAUUGAGACGUUAACAUAAGGGAGAAACUUAUAUACAUAUGAAGCAUAACAUUCUCCGCUGAUCCAUUUAGUCCCCAUCAUUAUAUAGUUUUCCCAGAAAGGGUAAUGGAGCCUUAGCUUGAAAACCUCUGUGCCUUUAUAACUGAAGUUACAUGCUAAUUGUACCAACAAUAAAAGAAUGAUUAUACAUAAGUAUGAACAAGAAGCUGCUAUAACAUCAGUCGAAAUAGUUCUGCGUUUUAGUAGGACUUUAAGCGCACUUAAAAGAAACUGUGAAAUGAGAUUAAAUAUUUAAACCUAACCAAA